UACGGGGGGGGCAAGCGUUGUUCGGAAUUACUGGGCGUAAAGGGCUCGUAGGCGGCCAACUAAGUCAUACGUGAAAUCCCUCGGCUUAACCGGGGAACUGCGUCUGAUACUGGAUGGCUUGAGAUUGGGAGAGGGAUGCGGAAUUCCAGGUGUAGCGGUGAAAUGCGUAGAUAUCUGGAGGAACACCGGUGGCGAAGGCGGGUCUCUGGACAGUUCCUGACACUGAGGCACGAAGGCCAGGGGAGCAAACGGG
rnacentral:rRNA from 1 species